rnacentral:rRNA from 1 species
GCACAAGCAGCGGAGCGUGUGGUUUAAUUCGUUGCUACACGAGAACCUUACCUGGGUUUGACAUAUAAGUUGUAGGGAACUGAAAAGGACCGACCCUUCGGGGAGCUUAUACAGGUGUUGCAUGGCUGUCGUCAGCUCGUGUCGUGAGAUGUUCGGUUAAGUCCGCUAACGAGCGCAACCCUCGCCGUAUGUUACAAGUGUCAUACGGGACUGCCGGUAAAAGCCGGAGGAAGGUGAGGAUGAUGUCAAGUCAGCAUGACCUUUAUAUCCAGGGCUACACACACGCUACAAUGGUCUGUACAAUUGGUUGCCAAGCCGCGAGGCGGAGCCAAUCCGUAAAGCAGGCCUCAGUUCAGAUUGCAGUCUGCAACUCGACUGCAUGAAGCCGGAGUUGCUAGUAACCGCAGGUCAGCAAUACUGCGGUGAAUACGUUCCCGGGUCUU